rnacentral:lncRNA from 1 species
GAUAUUCUUUUCUUUCUAAUUGCAAGCUACACUGUAUUACUUUUCCUGGUGCCUUAGUAAAUCCCUGUUACUCUUCUUCCAUCACCAACCACAAACCCAUUAUCCAACCUCAUACCCAAAUCUACACGCCCAUCCCGGUUGUAAUGGCAGACAGUGUAAUUACCUUUGUUUUGGAUCACUUAGCCCAGCUUGCGGCACGCGAAGCUGACUUGUUGUGUGGCGUGGAGGACAGGGUCCAAUCCCUCCAAUACGAACUUCAAAUGAUCAAAGAGCUCCUCGGUACUACAAAGAGAAAAAAGGGAAUGGAAUAUACUGUAUUGAAACAAAUCAGAGAUGUGGCCCACUUAGCUGAGGAUGUCAUCGAUACAUUCGUAGCCAAAGUUUCCAUUUAUAGGAGGAGAACCAUUCUGGGGAGGAUGCUCCGUGGCUUUGGCCAAGCAAGGUUACUCCGCCACGUAGCCGACAAAAUAGACAAGCUCAAAACCACUCUCAACGAGAUACGCGACAACAAGGACAAAUAUGAUGCUUUUAAAGAAACCACUAAUCAAUCUGUAGCGGAAGAGGAGGAGGAGAAGGAAAGGUUGCAAUCGCUGCACAAGCUAAGAAGAGACGUGGAGGAAGAACAUGUGGUUGGCUUUGUCCAUGACUCCAAGGAUAUCGUCCAAAGACUCCAGGGCGGUGGUUCAAAUCGUAAAGUUGUCUCUAUCGUUGGCAUGGGGGGAUUGGGGAAGACCACCCUUGCCCGAAAAGUCUAUAAUAGCAACCAGGUGAUGGACCAAUUCGAUUGUCGCGCAUGGGUUUAUGUCUCAAACGAGUGCAGAGUUAGGGAGCUUUUGCUUGGCCUUCUUAAGCUUUUGAUGCCAAAUUUUGAACAACAACGCAGAGGCAACAAGAAAGGUAAGGAAAGUGCCGAAGACGUUAACAACCUGAGUGAGGAGGAGCUGAAGAAACAGGUGUGGAAUUGCUUAGAGAGGAAAAGGUAUCUUGUGGUGGUAGAUGACUUGUGGAAAAGGCAGGAUUGGGAUGAGGUACAAGAUGCUUUUCCAGACAACAACAGAGGCAGUAGAAUAUUGAUCACUAGUCGUUUGAAAGAGGUGGCCUUGCAUGCUGGUGAUGAUGUACCUCACUAUCUCCAGUUCCUGAGUGCAGAAGAAAGUUGGGAGUUGUUUUGCAGGAAAGUGUUUAAGGGUGAAAACUGCCCUUCUGGUUUGGAGACCCUGGGAAAGCAGAUGGUUCAAAGUUGUUGUGGUUUGCCGCUCUCCAUCAUUGUCUUAGGAGGGUUGUUAGCCAAGAAGGAAAAGUCGGAUAGAGAAUGGUGUAAAGUGGUAGGUCAUGUUAAUUGGUAUCUCACUCGAGAUGAGACCCAAGUGAAGGAUAUAGUUCUCAAGCUCAGCUACGACAACUUGCCAAGGAGACUAAAACCGUGUUUUCUUUAUCUUGGGUUAUUUCCUGAAGAUUUUGAAAUACCUGUUACACCAUUAUUGCAAAAAUGGGUUGCAGAGGGUUUUAUACAAGAUACAGGAAAUAGAGACCCAGAUGAUGUUGCGGAAGACUACUUGUACGAGCUCCUCGAUCGUAGUUUGGUCCAGGUAGCAAGAGUGAAUUCUAAUGGAAGUUUGGCGACGUGUCAGGUUCAUGAUCUUCUUCGAGAUCUUUGCAUAUCAGAGAGCAAAGAGGACAGAGUGUUUGAAGUUUGCACAGACAAUAACAUUCUAAUCCCUACAAAACCUCGCCGACUAUCCAUUCACAGUGAUAUGGGUCAUUACAUUUCUUCAAGCGACAAUGAUCAUUCAUGUAUUCGUUCCCUGAUUUUCUUUGGGCAACAAUGUGAUAUUCGUGGGAGAGAGUGGAAAUGGCUUUUGGACGACUUCAAAUUGGUUCGAGUGUUAGAGUUUGGACGUAACAGGUGUCGAAAGAUCCCUUUCAAUUUAGGGAACUUCAUCCACUUAAGGUAUUUGAGAAUAGACUCAAUGAAUGCUACAUUUGUUCCAGAUUCAAUACUUAACCUUUGGAAUCUACAAACCAUAGAGCUAAGGAUUUCAUAUUAUAUAGGUUAUAUUGAAAUUUCUUUCCCUGGUGAAAUAUGGAAACUCAAACAUUUAAGACAUUUGAAUAUAUCAGAGCCUAUCAAGUUGCGAGGAAGAAGUUCAAAAUCAAAUGAGAAGAUGUGGAAUCUUCAAACCAUCUCUUACCUUUUACUCAAUAGGCAAUCAACAUCUCUAAUAAAGAAAGGAACAUUCCCCAAUAUUAAGAGGUUGAGCUUAUACGUGAAGGCAGAUGGUUAUGAAGGUGAAUUGCCUAAUUUAUUGCAGAAUCUACAACAAUUAAAGCAUUUGAAUAAAUUAGGGAUUUGGUCCAAACUUUGGCUUGGUUACAAGCCGCAAGAACUCGUUCAAAGCCUAGGACAAUUCAGUUGUCUAACUUUCUUAGUAAUUGGUAAUGUUUUGGACCUUCUAACCUCUGAGCUCAUAUUUCCCCCAAACAUUACAGAGUUAAUGUUAACAGGAAUUAGGUGCAUUACUGAUAAGGGGAUGAAUGGUUUGGGAAAUCACUUCAAACUCAAAAUUUUGAGACUUGGGGGAAGUCUGUUGGAGGAUUCCGUUGACCUCAAUUGUGCUGAUGGCGGCUUCCCACAACUGGAAGUGUUGGAAAUGAGAUAUAUGCGACUUCGAAAGUGGAAAUUAGGAAAUGGUGCAAUGCGGAGGCUUCAAAAUGUGUUUAUCCACCAUUGUCAACCAUUAGAUAAUCACCCAAUUGAACUCUGUUCUUUGAAUGGAUUGAAAAAAGUGCAUAUAAGAGAUUCGUUCUCAGAACAAAUGGCUCACAUCUUUCGAAAUUUGGAAACAAAUAAUGGAGUUCAAAUUGUUAUAGGGAAUUAUCUAUAUCUGGAUGAUGAGAAUGAUUGGAAUAUUUUUCAUUAGGAUUACUAUAUGUUAACACUUUUUUAUAAUAAUUAUUUUAACAGUAAGUCAUGUAUCAUUAUAUUAAUCUGUUUAAAUUUAUUUUCAGAAAAAUAACCAAUUAGAAGUUAUUAUAAAGACAUUGUAAAAAAAUUAUUAAAAAACAUUUUUUUAUUUAGAAGUGUAAAAUUUAUUAUACCAAAUAUUUAUUUUGUGAAUGUAUUUUAUAUAUAAUAAAAAAAUUGAACAUAUGAAAUAUUAAUAAUACCUUAAUAUUAACUUUUUAAAUUUAAACAAUAAUUAGCUAUAUAUAUAUAUAUAUAUAUAUAUAUAUAUAUAUAUAUAUAUAUAUAUAUAUAUAUAUAUAUAUAUAUAUAUUUUAAAUAUUGAAUUUUUUUCUAAAAAUUAAUUUAAAUAAAUAUAUUUUAAUAGAAUAAGGACAAGUAAGACAUGUAAAGCUUUACUAUCCACAUAUUCAUUUUCAUUCGCAUUUUUAUACCUAUUACGUUUAUCCUUUUCAAGUAAUGUGUGUCCUCGUAUCAACUACUAUAUCAAUUUAUUUAUCAUUCUGCACAUUAAUUAAUUUUUUUAUAAAAUUAUAAAAAUCAAAAUAAGAUAAACAUAAUAUUAUUAAUGACUUGAUGAUUUCACAAUUUUUUCAUUAUCAAAUAUUCAAAAUAUAUCAUAAUUUCAUAAAUGUUAAAUCAAAAUAAAAAAUAACAAUUGAAAAAAAUUAAAAUUAAAAUAACUAUAAAAAAUAGGUAAAAAUAAUCAAAUGCUAAUUUAAUGAGAUUGAGAUUUGUAUUUAAUUUGAAAAAAAAUCAUAAAAAUAAAAAUAAUUAAAGUUGUGAUAAAAUAAGCAAAUUUUUAUCUUAGAAUUUAUUGAUUCAAUGAACUUGAAGUUUUUAAAAUACCAUAAAAAAAGUUUUUAAAAUACUAUAAAAAAUAAAAAUAAAUAAAAAUUUCGUAAUUAAAAUCGUAAGAAGAAAAAAUAUUUUAAAGAUUUGGGUUUAUUUUUAGUUACAAAUAAACAAUGAGUAUUUUAGAAUUUAAUACAAAAACAAAUAUAAAAAUGAAAACUAAAUAUAUGCAUACCUACAUAAUUAAUUUAAAAAAUUAAAUAUUAUUUAUAUUUAUACUGGAUAAAUGACUGAAUUCUCUAUGAAAAUUAUAACAAGUUAAAACAAUAAUAAUGAAAAAGAUUAUUUGUCAUUCUCCCUCUAGUGUACAAAUUACAAGUUGGAGAACUUUUUUUCUAAGAAUAUUCUUUUAAUUUGCUUUUACUAUGAUUAUAUAUACAGCUCUAUUUAAGUUUUCUGAUCACUAAGGGAUGUUACAUGGUGGUGUCCUGUAGUUUAUUGUGAUUGACCGUAUGAAUGGCCAGAGUGUCCUUAUGAGGUUUAUCCUGACAUUCUAAUGACCAUACAUGCUCAAUUAGAGAGUGAUGAGUCAUGUGGUGAGAAUAGCAGGAGGUCAUAGUCUUGGGUGUCUCCAUUUAUGGGCCAAGAUGAGUUUGGAUGGACUUACACUUGUGUGUGGUAAGGGUGAAACCCGUUGGCAAUGACUUUGCAAAGCAGUAAAGGUCAUUCCAAGUGCAUAAACUCUUGGAACUUGACAUUUCAUACUAGUCUGGAUGGUCAAAUCACGUGUCGAUCAUUGGUAUCAACAAAAUGUGUUCGGUCUUAGUCUGUAUUAUGUUAUGGUCUUUGCAUGCUGUGUGUGUGAUUGUAUAACAUGAUAGUUAUUUUCAUUUAAUGUAUAAUCUGAUAGAAUGUUUACUUGCUUGCUUGUGUGCAUGUUGUUAUGUAUAUGUUAGUUUGAAUUUGGACUUAUCUUGAUGUUUUUCAACCUAGCUUACCCUUGCAUUGUGUGUGUUGUAUGUGCUUACCUUUCCCCUUGUGAUCAUCCAAUCAUUUGGAUGUGAGCAGUAGCUGACGAUGUGCUUUUGGAGCAAGCACUAGAGAAUGAAGAAGAUGCAAUUGCUUAGUGCUUAGGAUCAUUCUUAGUUGACUUAAAUAUUUUGAAAUACAUCUUUUGUAAGUAAAGUUUUAAAUUUAUAAUCAAUUUUGGAUGACUCUAAACUUAUAACUUUAUCUUUAUUCUUAAAUUGUUCUAUCAUAUUAUAAUGUUUAAUCACUCGAAAUUAUAUUUACAUAUAAUUUUUGGGAUGUUACACUAAUUCUUAAAUUAAUUAUAAUAUUUUAUUUAUAGGAAAGAUUAUUUUUAUCAUAAAGAAUUUCAGAUUUUGUUAAAAGCUUUUGGAACAAGUUAAGUUCCAUUUAAUAGAGGAAAAACUAUGGUUGUUUAGGAAAGACGGGACUUUUAAAUGUGUUGGUUGUAACUCAUUUCUUUUUGUUUGGAGUUAUAAACGUUCAUAUUAUGUUUUUAACUAAGCAAAGUAUUCUUAGAAAAAGAAUAUACUUUCAUAUGUUUCGGAAUUUAAACAAUUUAUUAGUUUUAUUUUCAAAAUAAAGUUUAUGUUUUGGUACGCUAGAUUAUCUUUUUUUUUUUUUUUUUUGUUUUUAUUAUGAUGACAGUGUUGUUUUCACGAAAAGAAAGAAUAACUCAAAUGAUGAUGCAUAAUAGAGUUAACUAAUACUGUUGAAAUUCCACUGAGUUAACUAAUAUUAAGGAGGGAAAGAAGCUGAUUUAUGUACACAAAAUGUGGAAAAACAAAUCCGUCUCUUACCGAUAUAUUAUUCUAUUACAGCUAAUAACCAUGAAGCAAACUGAAAACAGGUGUACUAUCAUAAAUAUAAAUACAUAUAAAGAGGUUGGAGAGUUUUGUUUGCAAUUUUAAUUAGUGUGGAGGAUGAAGUUGAUAUAUAUAAAAUAUUCUUAGUCAAAACGGAGGUUGGAGUGGCGUGUUUGGUUAUACAAACUAAAUUGAAACAAUCAUGUUACAGUGCACAUGGCAGGUAUGCGCUUAAUAUAUUCUUAGUCGAUCUCUUACACACUCUGUAUAUAUAUUAUUUAUUCCAUUUUAUAAGGAAGAAAAACUGAAGCCAGUUGUACUGCCAUAAACAUGAACCAAAAAUGUGCACUUAGCAGGAAGGUGUCAUGCGACUAAUAAGCGAUAUGCAAUUAAAUAUUGUAUCGUGAUAAAUAUUUCAACUUUUAAAAUCAAUGAAGCUGCCAUUAUGCACUUAAGGGGAAGCUUCAGAUCAACCGUGUUCAUGAUUCACUCCAAGUAAAUGGAAAAAUAAAACCUCAAGUCUUCACCCAAAGCAUUUGUAAAUUCUUUACUGCAAUCACUUUCCAUGAUAUAUAUAUAUAUAUAUAUAUAUAUAUAUAUAUAUAUAUAUAUAUAUAUAUAUAUAUAUAUAUAUAUAUAUAUAUAUUCUUUCGUAUGUGACUGCAAGCUACACUCUAUUGCUUUUUCUGGUGCCUUAAUAAAUCCCUGUUAGUCUUCUUCCAUCACCAACCAUAGAUCCAAAUCUACACGCUUGUCCACUGUAAUGGAAGAGAGUGUAGUUUCCUUUGUUUUAGAUCACUUAGCCCAGCUUGUCGCAAGCGAAGUUAACUUGCUGUAUGGGGUGGAGGAUAGAGUCCAGUCCCUCCAGAGAGAACUUGAAAUGAUCAAAGAGCUCCUCAAUACCACAAGGAGAGAGAAGGGAAUGGAACAUAUAGUACUGAACCAUAUCAGAGAUAUGGCCUACUUAGCUGAGGAUGUAAUCGACACUUUCGUAGCAAAAGUUUUAAUUUACAAAAGGAGAACCAUUCUCGGGAGGAUGCUCCAUGGCUUUGGCCAAGCAAGGUUGCUCCACCGCUUAUCCGACAAAAUAGACUAUAUCAAAACCAUUCUCAAGGAAAUACGCGACAACAAAGACACAUAUGAUGCUUUCAGAGAAACCACUAAUGAAUCCGCAGCAGAAGAGGUGAGGGAAAGGUUGGAAUGGCUGCAGAGGCUAAGAAGAGAUGUGGAGGUAAAAGAUGUGGUUGGCUUUGUCCAUGACUCUGAGGUUGUCGUCAAGCGACUCCUGGGAGAUAGUUCAAAUCGUAAAGUCGUCUCUAUCGUUGGCAUGGGGGGAUUGGGAAAGACCACCCUUGCCCGAAAGGUCUUUAAUAACAGCCAGGUGAAGCACCACUUCUAUUGUCACGCGUGGGUUUAUGUCUCGAACGAGUGCAGAGUUAGGGAGCUUUUGCUUGGCCUUCUUAAACAGUUGAUGCCAAAUUUUGAACAACAAUGCGAAGGCAUUAAAAGCCCGAAUGAGGAAGAGCUAAAAAAUAUGGUGGAGAACUGCUUGGAGGGGAAAAGGUAUCUUGUGGUGGUAGACGACUUGUGGAAAAUAGAGGAUUGGGAUAAGGUGAAAGGUGCUUUUCCAGACAACAACAGAGGCAGCAGAAUAUUGAUUACUAGUCGUUCGAGAGAGGUGGCCACGCAUGCUGGUCUUGAUAUUCCUCACUAUCUUCCAUUUCUCAAUGAAGGAGAAAGUUGGGAGUUGUUUCGUAAAAAAGUGUUUAUCGAUGGAGAUUGCCCUUCUGAUUUGGAGCCUCUGGGAAAGCAGAUGGUUGAAAGAUGUUGUGGUUUGCCGCUCUCCAUCGUUGUUUUGGCUGGACUGUUGGCCAAUAAGGAAAAGUCACAUACACUAUGGUCUAAAGUGGUCGAUCAUGUUAAUUCGUAUAUCAAUCAAGAUAAGACCCAAGUGAAUGAUAUAGUUCUCAAGCUCAGUUAUGACAAUUUGCCAAGGAGACUAAAACCAUGUUUUCUCUAUCUUGGGUUAUUUCCUGAGGACUUUGAAAUACCUGUUGCGUCAUUAUUGCAAAAAUGGGUUGCAGAGGGUUUUAUACAAGAUACAGGAGAUAAAGACCCAGAUGAUAUUGCAGAAGACUACUUGUACGAGCUCAUCGAUCGCAGUUUGGUCCAGGUAACAAGAGUGAAGUUAAAUGGAAGUUUGGAGAAGUGUCAAGUUCAUGAUCUUCUUCGAGAUCUUUGCAUAUCGCAGAGCAAAAAGGACAAAGUGUUUGAAGUUUGCACAAACAAUAACAUUGUAGAUUCUACCAAACCUCGCAAACUGGCCAUUCAGAGUGACAUGCGUGACUACAUUUCUUCAAGCAAAAGAGACCAUUCAUGUGUCCGUUCCGUGUUUUUCUUUGGGACAAAUUAUGAUGAGUGGAAAUGGCCUUUGGACAACUUCAAAUUGGUUCGAGUGUUAGAGUUUGGACCUACCACUCGCCUAGAGAUCCCUUCCAAUCUGGGGAACUUCAUUCACUUAAGGUACUUGAGAAUUGACUCUUUGUUUCCUAAAUUUGUUCCAGAUUCAAUACUUAACCUUUGGAAUCUACAAACCAUAGACCUGGGUAUUUUCAAGAAUGGGCUUCAAGUUUCUUUCCCUGCUCAAAUGUGGAAACUUAAAUAUUUAAGACACUGGAAUUCAUCAGGGCCCAUCGAGUUGCGAGGAAGAUGUUUACAAUCAGUUGAGAAGAUGUGGAAUCUUCAAACCAUGUCUCCCCUUACACUCAAUAAGCAAGCAAUAUCUCUAAUAAGGAAUGGAACAUUUCCCAAUAUUAAGAGGAUGGGGUUGAAAGGGAGUCAUGAUUGUAAAGAUGAAUUACCCAAUUUACUGGAGAACCUAACACAAUUAAAGCAUUUGAAUACAUUAGUGAUUUUUCCCGAAGGUUUGCUUGAUUUCAAGCCCCAAGAACUGGUUCAAAGGUUAGGACAAUUCAAUCGUCUAACUAUUUUAGUAAUUGAUUGUGUUAAUCUUCUAACCUCUGAGCUCAUAUUUCCCCCAAACAUUAUAGAGUUAACUUUGUCAGUGAUUAAACGCAUUAGUGAUGAGGGGAUGAAUGGUGUGGGAAAUCACUCCAAACUCAAGAUUUUAACACUUUUGGGAUAUAUAAUGGAGUUUAAGGAUCCCUUUAACCUCAAUUGUGUCGGCUUCCCAAAGUUGGAAGUGUUGCAAUUGAAAUACUUGCCACUUCGAAAUUGGAAAUUAAGCAAUGGUGCAAUGCAGAAGCUUCAACAUGUAAUUAUCUACUGUUGUGAACCAUUGGAUAAUCUCCCAAUUGAACUCUGUUCUUUGAAUGGAUUGAAAAAAAUGCAUAUACAAGACUAUAGGACAAAAGUGAUUGAACAAAUGGUGACAUCUUACGAAUAUUGGAAACAAAUAAUAGAGUUGAAGUCCUUAGAGAAUAUGCUUCACCUUGGGCUGAUGCAUUAGUUGCGCCUAUUAUAUAUGAUUAGUAGCUCAUUUGCCUUCCAUGUUUCAUUUGCCUUCGUUUCAUGUCUUUUAUUCUUCCUUUCUUUCUACAAGUUUACAGUCAGUUUUUUAUUUUUAGUUAUUUGAAAACAAUGUUUGGUCUUGUUUUUUUACUAUGUGGAAAAUAAAAGGAAACAUGGAAAUUACAUCUUAGUUUAUCAUUUUAUUGUUUAUAAAAUAAUGAUUAAGAGAUUUAAUAUAUUGAAAUCUCUUAAAAAGAAUUAUAAUAAUCUGAUUAGAAUGUCUAUAUUCAGUUAUUUAAUAAAUUAAAAAUGUUUAAAUUUGUAAGAAAUUAAAAAUUAAUUACAUUUUUUUCUUAAUAUAAUUAUCAAUCACGGGCUUUUCAUCCUUCUGAAUUAAAAGUUGGGAAGAAGCCAAAUUUGCUUAUAUAUAUUUAUUGAUUGGCAAAGUGGAACUUAGAAAUUUAAGUAGCAUGGAGCUAAAAAUUUAAACAGCGAAACCCCCAAAAUUUGAUUAGUAUAGAAUCAAAGUUAUAGAGAAACUAUGCUUCUUUUUAAAACAAUCAUAAAUUCAUAAAAGACUGCAAAUAUUUAAGCUCAAUACAAGAGAAACGAGUCAAAGCUGAAGCUUAAUUGUACAUACAGAUUUUAUAAAAAUUCAGUAAACAAAUUAAUUAAUUAAAAUUUGUAUGAUUUUUAUAUUUUAUUGAUUUUUCUUUUACUUUCUUCUUAAAAUUUCAGUUAAAUACUUUAUUGUAAUCUUAAAACUAUUUACCUUAAUUAAUUUUGAAAUCCAUCAUAAAUUUAUAUAUUUUUAAUUAUGUAUCUAUUGAAUUAAUUAUUAUAUAGUCGGUACUUAAAAUUUUUAUAUUUUGCAAUUGAGUUUGCAUUUAUUUAAUUUUUUUAUAUUAUUUGAGAUGUGCAAUUAUUAUUUUUUCAAUAUUAUGUAUUUUCACAUGUUAAUAGAAAAUGAUAAACUUUCAUUGAAAAUAUGGGUACUACUACAUUAGUAGCAAUAGUUGUGAUUAAUUACAUGGAUGAUCACAUGUAAAUCAUUAUGAAAAUAAUAUUUUUUUAAUAAGUAUAUAGUAAAAACAUUUCUUUCAAUUUUAACGUAAUACUAUUUGAUACCAUAAACGUGUAUACUUUUUCAAAGAAAAGGUUUCAUACCAGAAAAUAAAAUUAUAUAACUUCAUACAUAGUUGUGUGAAGAUCAUAGACUUCAUCCUUUUUUUUUCUGAUUAUUAAUUAAUACAAUUUAAAUAUUAAUAAAUAUGUUUAUUAUUUUAAUUUUGUUGAAGAGAUCACUUUAUUUUUUAAUAUAUUAAAAUUUUUAAAAUAUAACAUUCUUAAUAUUUUAAUCUUGUUUUGAUAUCUUUUACUACCUUAAAAUACUACCAUCAAAAAGGUAAAAAAUAAUAAAAAUAAAGAAGAAGUCUAUAAUAGGGUUAAAAUUAAAUAACUAUUUUAUGUAACUUUUGGUGGAAAUUUUGAGAAUGAAUAUUUCACAAAAGUGAUUAGGAAUCACAAAAUAAAUCAAUUGGAUUUAUAUCUGUCCGUUAUAAUUAAUUUCUUUUUCUUUGGAAUUUAUUUGGCAAACUUCCGUAGUUUAUUUUGAACUAAGCAAGGGAUUCUUAAAAAGAAUAUAUUUGCAUAUGUUUCGGGAUUUGAACAAUUUAUGAGUUUUAUUUUCAAAAUAACGUUUAUGUUUUGGUGUGUUAGAUUAUCUUUGUGUUUAUUUGUAUUUGUUUUUUUUUAUUAUUACAAUGACAGUGUUCUUUACAUGGAAAAAAGAGAUAUACAACAGUGUAUUGGUUUGAUUUGCAAUUUGUCUGUCAAAAAUGGGACAGAAGGAGGUACGUGCUUUAGAAAACUCGUCUUGUCUUGUGAAAUGUAGGACGGUGGUGUUUACCCACCAACAUUUUUUUUAAUUUUAUUAUAUAUAUAUAUAUAUAUAUAUAUAUAUAUAUAUAUAUAUCCCAAUUUUAUAAAAAUUCAAUAAACAAAAAAGUUUAUUAAAACUUGUUUGCUUUUUAAUAUCUAGUGAUUUUUUUACUUGUCUUAAAAUUUCAUUUAAAAAAUUGAUAUAAUCUUGAUUGAACUUGUACUGUCAUAAUGGUAAAUAUUUUAAGCCGAAUGAGUGGUAGAAAGUGUAAUGCUACGUGAAAUCUUCAAACCAUCUAUGGUCUUCUAUUCAAGAGACAAACUGAAAUUGUUGAAUUAACGUAUUACAUUGUAAAGAUCUAAUUUUAUCCCUUAUUUAAUUUUGCACUUUAUUUAAUCGUGUCCCUUAAACUCAUGUCAUUGUUAUUUUAUAUACUGACAUUUUAUUUUUUAAGAGUGAACAUAUAAUUUUUUCCAUUUUUUCAUAUUAAAUUAUAUUAUUUAUACUAAUUUAAAUAUACUAGUAUUUUUCUUGUAAAGUUGUUUGUUAAAAUGAAAUGAACUGACGUGUUUUUAAACGUCCUCUUCUUUUACGUGUUAUUUGAUAUGUAAUUAUGAGUAAAAUUAUUUUAUGUGAAAGCCAUGCAAACAUUAAAAUGAUAUUGUUGGGUGUAAAAAGAAUUCUCACAUAACGAAAAAUAUAGUUGAUUAAUUUGUGGAAUAGUAUAUAUAUAUAUAUAUAUAUAUAUAUAUAUAUAUAUAUAUAUAUAUAUAUAUAUAUAUAUCAUAGAACUAAUGUAUGAUGUUAAUGAAGUAUUAGAUGAAGUUGAGCUUGUAACUGUCUACAUUAUCUUUAUUCUCUAUAAAUCCAAAUUGGAUAAAACACAAAAUUACAAAGACAAUAAACCAUGUGUCACAAUUUAAUAUAGAUCAAAAUUGUAUUUAAAGUAUAGAAAACGGAGGUUGGAGUGGCGUGUUUGUAAUUUGAUAUAAACAAGUUUCUGUAUAGAUUAACCACUCACAGAAUGUGUUAAAAGAAACAAAUCAGUCUCUUACAUAUAUUAUUCUAUUACGUCUAACAUAAUAAAUAUAAAUAUUCUAAGGUAAAUGAAUACAAGUUGCAAAUGCAGGAAGGUGUGACUAACAUGACCUUUAUAUAUAUAUAUAUAUAUAUAUAUAUAUAUAUAUUAAAAAUAUAUAUAUAUAUAUAUAUAUAUAUAUAUAUAUUAUAUAUGAAAGAGUUUGAUGAUUAUAUUUAAUCACAAUAAAAAAGAAUUUAACUACUACGGAAUUGAAUAACGUGAAAUCUAAUUUAAAAGAUGAAUAUGUGUGUACAUAUAAUACAUAUAUAGAUGACAUGACAAAGAAUAAUAAUGACUCAGUAUGAUUUGAACUUGUUUCAAUGUUUAUCUGAAGAUGUGAUAUAAUAAUACUUCUUAAAGCUUACCAUUGUGUUGUUGUCAAUGUGAUCAGUGGAUGGAUAUUUUGGAGCUACCUUUGGAGGUGUGUAUAUAAAUAGAUGUAACAUCAAGACCUUCUUUUAUGUUUAUUUUGUAGACUAUACCUUCGUGUAUAUACUUUUCUAUCAAAAUAAUUAACUAUAAGGAAAAAACAUAUUUCAGUACUACAUAUUUAAAUAAAAAUGUUUAAAAAUUUUAAAAUAAUAAAGAGAAAUACGUUGAUGAUUUAAGAUUGUUUAUACAAACUAAAUUGAAACAAUCAUAUGAAAUAAUAAAAAUAUUCUUAAUGAAACAGUGCACAUAACAGGAAGGUGUCUAACUACUGAGAGUAUGCACUUAAUAUAUUCUCUGUCAAUCUCUUACACACUCUAUAUUUUUAUUAUUCUAUUCCAUUUUAAAACGAGGAAAAAUUGAACCCAGUUGUACUGUCAUAAACAUAAAUAUUCUGAGCCAAAUGUGCACUUAGCAAACUUUGAAAAUUAAAUAUUGUAUCGUAAUAAAUAUUUAAACUUUGAAAAUGAAUUGUGUCAUUAUGCACUUAAGGGGAAGCUUCAGCUGAACCGCGUUCAUAGUUGACGCCAAGUAAAUGGAAAAAUAAAACCUCAAGUCUUCACCCACAGCCUUUGUAAAUUCUUUAUCGCAAUCAUUUUCCAUGAUAUAUAUUUGGACAUUCUUUCGUAUGUGGCUGUAAGCUACACUGUAUAUACUGCUUUUUCUGGUGCCUUGGUAAAUCCAUGUUCCUUUUCCAUUUUCAUUAAUAUACACUGUAUAUUAAUGUUAUUAAUGUAAAAUUGACUCAAUAUGUCACAAUUAAUAGAUAAAAAUUGGCUCAAAAAAACUUAUAAACAAGGUGUGCAAGCCCUAAGAAAGCUUUUAACCCAUGUCCUACAGACCAACAUAAAUAUGCAUAUUGUCUUUUCAGCGAUGGAAAUUUUAAAAAUACAAUGAAACGAUGAAGGUAGGUUACACUUCCAAUACAAUGCUAACCUCUAAGCAGCUACAAUUAAUCAUUCUGUACUUCAUCAUCCAUAGCAACAUUCCCACCUCAAUCCAAGUCAGUCCUUCCUGAAACACAGAAAGCUCAGUUAUACCCAAAAUUCAGUAUGUGACAAUCAAAUCUUGUACUGCCAGAAAAAUCCAGUGACUUCAUUACAAGGAAAAAGAGAAUGAUUGAUGAUGCAUAACAAUAAAGAAUGAAAGAUUAUUGAUGCGGAUAUAGAACAAGUGGCUAUAUAGAAUCGAAAACAUUAAUACUUACAUGAAGACGAUGCACAUCAUAUAAAAUACCAAAAAUUAAAACAAGGCUUAUCAAAUAUAAAGGGAAAAGGGAAAACACCAAAUAAAAUUAAUUGAAUUCCUGGUAUAAGCUAAAGUAACUUACAAACUUAAUUUCCACAGAACCUAUCUCUUUUAACUUUUAUAAAACCUAAAAUGCAUAAGUUGAUUUUAGCCAUUAAGAUAGGUUCAAUUCAUUUUAUCUUCUUAUCCGUUCUUAUCGAAACUUAGUUGCCAACUUUAAAUGGCCCUACCUUGUUAGUAAUUGGGCAAAUGGGUACAGAAAGUUGCCAACUAAGUUUUUGUAUUAUUGUGUUAGUAAUUGGAAAAAUGGCCCUAUCUUGUUUGCUUGUGAUCUUGUGAGUUUUCUAAAUAUAAAUAUUCUAAGGCAAAUGGAUAGAAGGUGCAAUGUACGAAGGUGCCACUUACAUAUAUAUAUAUAUUCUGUGCCAUCAAACACCGAGAAAACAAACUGAACACAGUACUGUCAUAAAUAUAAAUAUUCUAAGUCAAAUGGAUAAAAGAUGCAUUGCACAUAGCAGGAAGGUGUAAUGCAGAUAGCAGGAAGGUGCUACGCUACUCACAUUAUGAACUCACGGGGAAGGUUCACUUCAAAAGUAGCAUGAUAAAACUACAACUCUUGAAAGUCUUUAUAUAUUCUUUACAAUUGGAGCCACUUUUAAUAUAUACAUUUGAAUAUUCUUUUCUAUGCGAUUGCAAGCUACACUCUAUUGCUUUUUUCUGGUGCCUUAGUAAAUCCCUGUUAGUCUUCUUCCAUCACCAACCACGAACCAUUAUCCAACCACAGAUCCAAAUCUACACGCUCCUCCAUGCUGUAAUGGCAGACAGUGUAGUUUCCUUUGUUUUAGAUCACUUAGCCCAGCUUGCCGCACGCGAAGCUAACUUGCUCUAUGGCGUGGAGGACAGGGUCCAGUCCCUCCAGUACGAACUUCAAAUGAUCAAAGACCUCCUCAAUACCACNAAGAGAAAGAAGGGAAUGGAACAUACUGUAUUGGAUCAAAUCAGAGAUGUGGCCCACUUAGCUGAGGAUGUCAUCGACACUUUCGUAGCCAAAGUUUCCGUUUACAAGAGGAGAACCAUUCUCGGGAGGAUGCUCCGUGGCUUUGGCCAAGUAAGGUUACUCCACCACGUAGCUGACAAAAUAGACAAGCUCAAAACCACUCUCAACGAGAUACGCGACAACAAGAACAAAUAUGAUGCUUUCAAAGAAACCACUGAUCAAUCCGCAGUGGAAGAGGAGGAGAAGGAAAGGUUGCAAUUGCUGCACGAGCUAAGAAGAGACGUGGAGGAAGAGAAUGUAGUUGGCUUUGUCGACGACUCCAAGGAUGUCGUCCAGCGACUCCUAAGAGGUGGUUCAAAUCGUGAAGUUGUCUCUGUCGUUGGCAUGGGGGGAUUGGGGAAGACCACUCUUGCCCGAAAGGUCUAUAAUAGCAGCCAGGUGGUGAACCACUUCGAUUGUCAUGCAUGGGUUUAUGUCUCAAACGAGUGUAGAGUUCAUGAUCUUUUGAUUGACCUUCUUAAGCAUUUGAUGCCAAUUUUUGAACAACAACUUAGAGGCAACAAAAGCGCGGUAGACAUUAAGGACCUUAGUAAGGAGGAACUGAAGAAACAUGUGUGGAACUACUUGGAGAGGAAAAGGUAUCUUGUGGUGGUAGAUGACUUGUGGAAAAGGCGGGAUUGGGAUGAGGUGAAAGAUGCAUUUCCAGACAACAACAGAGGCAGCAGAAUAUUGAUCACUAGUCGUUUGAAAGAGGUGGCCUUGCAUGCUGGUGAUGAUGUUCCUCACCAUCUUCAAUUCCUUAGUGAAGAAGAAAGUUGGGAGUUGUUUUGCCGGAAAGCGUUUAGGGGUAAAAACUGCCCUUCUGAUUUGGAGCCUCUAGGAAAGCAAAUGGUUCAAAGUUGUCGUGGUUUGCCCCUCUCCAUCAUUGUCUUAGGAGGGUUGUUAGCCAACAAGGAGAAGUCAGAUAGAGAAUGGUCUAAAGUGGUAGGUCAUGUUAAUUGGUAUCUCACUCGAGAUGAGACCCAAGUGAAGGAUAUAGUUCUGAAACUCAGCUACGACAACUUGCCAAGGAGACUAAAACCAUGUUUUCUCUAUCUUGGGUUAUUUCCUGAAGACUUUAAAAUACCUGUUACGCCAUUAUUGCAAAAAUGGGUUGCGGAGGGUUUUAUACAAGAUACAGGAAAUAGAGACCCAGAUGAUGUUGCAGAAGACUACUUGUAUGAGCUCAUCGAUCGCAGUUUGGUCCAGGUAGCAAGAAUGGAUUUUAAUGGAGGUUUGAAGACAUGUCAGGUUCAUGAUCUUCUUCGAGAUCUUUGCAUAUCAGAGAGCAAAGAGGACAAAAUGUUUGAAGUUUGCACAAACAAUAACAUUCUACUCCGUACCAAACCUCGUAGACUGUCCAUUCACAUCGACACAGGUCACUACAUUUCUUCAAGCAAUAAUGACCAUUCAUGUAUUCGUUCCCUGUUUUUCUUUGGGCCAGGUUAUCAUGUUCGUGGGAGAGAGUGGAAAUGGCUUUUAGAUGACUUUAAAUUGGUUCGAGUGUUAGAGUUUGGACCUUACGACCGGAACAAGAUCCCUUCCAACUUAGGGAACUUCAUCCACUUAAGGUACUUGAGAAUAAAAGAUGUUUUUGUUUACUCUAUUCCAGAUUCGAUACUUAACCUUUGGAAUUUACAAACCAUAGACCUGGGUAGUUGGGAGGGUCUCAUGCCAGUUUCUUUCCCUAUUCAAAUGUGGAAACUCAAACAUUUAAGGCAUUUGAAUACACAAGGGCCUAUCAAGUUGCGAGGAAGAUGUUCACCAUCCUCAUAUGAGAAGAUGUGGAAUCUUCAAACCAUCUCUCUUGUACUAAAUAUGCAAGCAACAUCUCUAAUAAAGAAAGGAACAUUCCCCAAUAUUAAAUGGUUGAGGUUGAAGGAGGAAUAUGGUUUCGUAGGUGAAUUACCCAAUUUAUCACAGAACCUAGAAUUAAAUCAUUUGAAUAAACUACUGAUUUUGUCCCCUUUUCGGCGUGGUCACAAGCUACAAGAACAGCUUCAAAGCCUAGGACAAUUAAGUUGUUUAACUAUCUUAAUAAUUACUGAUGUUUUAGAUCUUUUAACCUCCACGCUCAUAUUACCCCCAAACAUUACAGAGUUAACAUUGUCCGGGAUUAAGUGCAUUACUGAUGAAGGGAUGAAUAGUCUCGCAAAUCACUCCAAACUCAAAGUUUUGAGACUUCGAGGAAAAGUAACGGCGUUUGAGGAUUCCGUUGACCUUAAUUGUGCCGAUGGGGGCUUCCCACAACUUGAAGUGUUUAAAAUGAGAGAUAUAAAACUUCGAAAGUGGAGAUUAGGCAAUUGUGCAAUGCAGAAGCUUCAAAAUGUGUUUAUCCUGGAUUGUCGACCAUUAGAUCAUCUCCCAACUGAACUUUGUUCUUUGAAUGAAUUGAGAGAAGUGCAUAUAACGGAAUAUCCCUCAAAACAAAUGACUCACAUCUUAGAAAUUUUGAAAACAAAUAAUGGAGUUCGAGUCAUUAUAGGAAUUUUUUCAACUCCAGAUGUUGAGUGGAGUCAUGUUAGUGGUGAGACGUAUGAGAUUUAUUAUUCAAAAUAGUUGGUUGUUUAUUUUAUGGAUGUAUUUUAUGGAUAUAUUUUAUAUAGAGUAAAAAAAUGUAUAAUGUAAAACAUAAGUGAUA